UACCUUAAAGCAGAGAUCUUCAACAGGGGGUCCGGGACCCCAAGGGGGUCCUCAGAGUAACUGCAAGGGGGGGCCACCAAAUUAUUGUUAAUUUUUUCGAAAGUUUU